ACUGGACAGUCUAGCACAGCAAAGAGUCUAGGAACCUUAAGACAAUUUUAUUGAGCCAUUCUUCACAAAUAAUAAUGAAAUGUUAAUACAUAAUGCUUCCAUUUCUACAAUGCGAUGAGAAAGAUAUGAUCCAAAUAAAAAGACAAUAAAAUACAUAUUACUAAGACCAUCUACCAAAUAUGAUAGAAACUAUAUAUCAAACACUGGACACUCUAGCACAGCAAAGAGUCUAGGAACCUUAAGACAAUUUUAUUGAGCCAUUCUUCACAAAUAAUAAUGAAAUGUUAAUAUAUAAUGCUUCCAUUUCUACAAUGCGAUGAGAAAGAUAUGAUCCAAAUAAAAGGACAUUACAAGCAUCAUAUACCUUGAUACACCUUUCCGUUAAUCUCAACCUCAUAAGAUUCCAUGACCUCUUGUAUAGCGGCACCAAUGUCACAAAGGCGCACAUCGAUUCCAGCUUCCUAGAUGGCAACCAUAGCAUUCAAAGGAACCAGUAAACCACAAGAUUUAAUUGGUGCAUACCAAAACAUCACAACACAGAGCAAACAAUAAAAUGAAUGGUAGAGGGGGUAAGGAAGAGAAGUUAUUUUUCAGGUUAAGCUUAUGAAGCUUUUCCAUUAAAGAGUUCUAUAGAUAGAGAAACCGUGCAAAUCACAUUUGAGUAUUCCUACUCUGAUAUUUUUUCUUAUUGUAUAUAUAUAUAUAUAUUUAUUGAUAUGAGUAUGCCAUAUGAGAAGAAAAAAGUCUUUUGAUUAAAUUGAUUCAGUGUAAAUCAGUACAGGAAAACAUAUAUACAGAGAGAACUCUACCCCUGGCAUAAUGAUUACAAUGAUUUCUAGUAUCUUACAAUACUCAUACAUGAAUAAAUUACUAGCAAUGCUUACAAUCCCGUUCAAGAUGAUAGGACCAAACACUAAGGUAGUUAAAAUUGAGAUUGUGGUUAGGAUCUUGAAUGGUUCACCAAAUCUUAAAUCAUGAGAUUGUAACACGGAUCAUGGAUUUCACUUUCUACAAACAAAAUCAAUCUCUUGAUCAACAUUUUGUAUGAAUGAGGAUAAGGGAUGUUGUCAGAGAGUGGAGAGUUUAUGAGAGGAGAAGGAAGAGUUAAUGUCCUAAUUGUUUUAACAGUUAGGAGAGGCGAGAAGUUAGGAAUUGUAUAAAUAGAGUUCGGUAAUUUGUAUAGAGGGGUUGUUGAAUAUUCUUUGGUAGAGACAGAAUGUUUUGUCCUGUGGAGGGAGAUUAGGCUCCCGUACUGUGAAUGUACAUAUGUCUUGUUGAAUUGAAAUACAAAACUCAUUCUUUUACAGUGUGAGUUCUUGUUUGUGAGUGUGUUAGUGAGUGUUUUAGAUAGGUUUCAUACCCAGAAACCCAUCAGAUGUAAACAGGCCCCUUCUAAAUUUCUUAAUUGUAUAUUUAAUUGGAUUUGGGUGAAAGACAUAGCUAGUGCACAUUACGUGAAGUACGUUACAUGUGUCUUUAUUGGGUUUUAUUUUAACUACAACAAGGUGAAUUUUAAUUUCCUUAAUUUUUAAUUUGGUUUGGGUUUUAUUUUAAUUUAAACCUCUUCAAUCCAAUAAAGUGAAUAGGUGAUGCAGCAGAAAACACACAUAAUAGGGUUAAUUUUUAAUUGCAUUAAUUAUUAAUUAAUUUUAGGUUUUAUUGUAACUGAACCCCAUUCACCAAAAGAUUUGAACCUGUGCAGCAGAAAAUACAAAAAAAUGUUGAUCCACACAAUUUAACUACUUGACGAUCAUGUGUAAGAUUUGAAUUGAAAAUACUACAAGCUCAUAGGAUUGAACGUUUUAGGAUGUAAAUAUAUAUUCUAACUAUACCGCCAAACAAAUAAAGGUAGACCGACACUUUAUUAAAGAAAUAUUAGAUAGUGACCUAAUCACAACUUCUUAUGUCCCUUCUAAACUUCAGCGAGUAGAUCUGUCCACAAAAGGUCUUCCACUGAAUGAUAUCAUGAUCUCACAUGCAAGCUGGAAAUGAUAAAUAUCUAUUCACUUGCUUGAGGGGGAGUGUUGAUUACGAGUGUGUUGUUGGAAGAUUCUAGAGGUCUCCUUGUAAUCAUUAAUAUAGGAUUAGAGUUCUAUAUAUAGAGUGAUGUCCUGUCUCAUUAAAUCAAUUCAACAAAAUUGCUUCUCUUCUAUAGUUAAUCUCUAGUUUGUGAUGUUCUCUAAGGCCUCCUAAUAAACCCAAAGGUUGGUAUUAAAUACCUUGGUAUUAGAGCUUCUCACCAAGUCUUAGAGCUACAAGAGAGUGGUUCAUGUGGUUAUAUUGACAUAACUGUCUUGACAAGGGACUAGCCAAGUAGUUGAUGCACAACAAGCUCAAUGGGCACGAAGGCUACGAAGUGUUAGCCGAAUACCAAUUGCAAGACACGGAACAUGAAUUUCACGUGAAAUAUAAGAUUCCAGUCAAAUUUCUAUACAAGGGCUCCAUGAGAAAAGUUUGAGUCACACGAAUA
rnacentral:sRNA from 1 species